rnacentral:rRNA from 1 species
UGAGGAAUAUUGGUCAAUGGACGGAAGUCUGAACCAGCCAAGUAGCGUGCAGGAUGACGGCCCUAUGGGUUGUAAACUGCUUUUGUAUGGGGAUAAAGUUAGGGACGUGUCCCUAUUUGCAGGUACCAUACGAAUAAGGACCGGCUAAUUCCGUGCCAGCAGCCGCGGUAAUACGGAAGGUCCAGGCGUUAUCCGGAUUUAUUGGGUUUAAAGGGAGCGUAGGCUGGAGAUUAAGUGUGUUGUGAAAUGUAGACGCUCAACGUCUGAAUUGCAGCGCAUACUGGUUUCCUUGAGUACGCACAACGUUGGCGGGAUUCGUCGUGUAGCGGUGAAAUGCUUAGAUAUGACGAAGAACUCCGAUUGCGAAGGCAGCUGACGGGAGCGCAACUGACGCUUAAGCUCGAAGGUGCGGGUAUCAAACAGGAUUAGAUACCCUGGUAGUCCGCACAGUAAACGAUGGAUGCCCGCUGUUGGUACCUGGUAUCAGCGGCUAAGCGAAAGCAUUAAGCAUCCCACCUGGGGAGUACGCCGGCAACGGUG